GCUUACACAUGCAAGUCGAGCGAUGAAGUUUCUUCGGAAAUGGAAUAGCGGCGAACGGGUGAGGAACACGUGAAGAAUCUGCCCUCCACUUUGGGAUAACACCGGGAAACCGAUGCUAAUACCGAAUAUUGAAACAUAAGUGGCAUCACUGAGUUUUGAAAGAAUUUUGGUGGAGGAUGACUUCGCGGCCUAUCAGCUAGUUGGUGAGGUAAUGGCUCACCAAGGCAACGACGGGUAGCCGGCCUGAGAGGGCGACCGGCCACACUGGGACUGAGACACGGCCCAGACUCCUACGGGAGGCAGCAGUGGGGAAUAUUGGGCAAUGGAGGCAACUCUGACCCAGCGACGCCGCGUGCGGGAUGAAGGCCUUCGGGUUGUAAACCGCUUUCAGUAGGGAAGAAGCGAAAGUGACGGUACCUACAAAAGAAGCACCGGCUAACUAUGUGCCAGCAGCCGCGGUAAUACAUAGGGUGCAAGCGUUGUCCGGAAUUAUUGGGCGUAAAGAGCUCGUAGGUCGUUUGUUACGUCGGAUGUGAAAACCUGAGGCUCAACCUCAGGCCUGCAUUCGAUACGGGCAAACUAGAGUUUGGUAGGGGAGACUGGAAUUCCUGGUGUAGCGGUGGAAUGCGCAGAUAUCAGGAGGAACACCAAUGGCGAAGGCAGGUCUCUGGGCCAUAACUGACACUGAGGAGCGAAAGUGCGGGGAGCGAACAGGAUUAGAUACCCUGGUAGUCCGCACCGUAAACG
rnacentral:rRNA from 1 species